UGUCUGUCUGUCCGUGUGUUCAUAGCGUUCGGUUCUGCUAACAAAUAUUUACCAUCUCCUGUGCCUUUGUUAGUUACAUAGGAGUCAAUGUGUUUGUUGCACAUUACCAACGUCCACGUGUGUUUUGUAAACUUCCCACAUAACGUAACUCACUGCUUCGGGUAUUUAGCUUGUGAUUAUUAUAUGAGUUGAAUUGCGCGGAUACGAAUGUCGGAACGUAAAUAGCAAAAGAUUAAGGCUGUGACCUCAAUUGAAAGCUGAGACUACAUCUCGAACGUGGAAUCGGCGCGCACAAGGUGAAAGCGAAUUGGAGCUCCAGUGCAUCCCGUUGGUUGGCUAAAUUCGAUAACAGCUUACUGCUGACGUCGACUUGUAGCUCUGCAGUUUCAGAGGGAUCGAAACCUUUACCUGGAAUUCGCGAAAACAUCAGGAGAAGCCAAGGAACGCGAACAACUUACGUUACGUCACUGUCAAAAAGAGCACCCUAUCUGCCAAGGGACGCAAAGCUUCCCAUCCCCUACAAACGCUAACGACAUUGAGAAAAAGACUGAUCAUAAACGUUAUAAUUUUGCCGAUAAAAAAUCGUGUAAUACGUUAAACUAAAGGUGCAGUGCU